UUAAGUUCAGCGGGUAUCCCUACCUGAUCCGAGGUCAACCUGGUGGAGGAUUUAACGGCCGCGGCCGCCCGCGCCCCGGAGCGAUUAAUGAAAUCACAACGCUUGGAGGCGGACAGCUCAGCCGGAGACUUUGAGGCGCGCGGAACACCGCGGCGCCCAAGACCACGCCAGGCGUGAGUGGUGAAAUGACGCUCGAACAG
rnacentral:misc_RNA from 1 species